rnacentral:rRNA from 1 species
UACAGAGGGUGCGAGCGUUAAUCGGAAUUACUGGGCGUAAAGCGUGCGUAGACGGUUUCGUAAGUCGGGUGUGAAAUCCCCGGGCUCAACCUGGGAAUUGCAUUCGAAACUGCGAGGCUAGGGUACGGAAGAGGGAAGCGGAAUUUCUGGUGUAGCGGUGAAAUGCGUAGAUAUCAGAAGGAACAUCAGUGGCGAAAGCGGCUUCCUGGUCCAGUACAGACGUUCAGGCACGAAAGCGUGGGGAGCAAACAGG